UCCUUAUUGAAACCGUAUUGCUAAUCUUGCUAACAUCAGGAUAGUGUGGCCGUGCAGGCACUCUGCUGUCGCGACAGACAGGAGAGGGGUAGAUCCAGCUUGGUGGCUUCGGGGGAAAAAGGAGAGAAUGAUUCCAAAACCAGAAACUUUGCUCACUUUCUCUUCACUGGAGUUCUCUCUCAUGAUUAUCGGAGCAACAUUAGAUCAACUAUUAUAAUUUUAUUGGAACUGCUUGCAGCUGUUAUAAUAUGUGAGGUCAUAUAUCAGAGAAUUAAUUAUGAGUAGCCUGAAAUUACUUAGUUGUAUAUGCCUAUAUUGAUAGACAAUUCAUCUGCUGACUGACACAGUUUGCUUCUAACAAAUGGA